AUUAAGUGACCCUGGUGAUAUAAUGUUGGAAAACAAAAUGCAGAAGCUGAACAGGGGUACACUACAUUACAGCACUAUCGACCACAUUCAGCGAUGAUCCAAAUGACAUAACCCAAUCAAUCGAUCUCUGACAACAAACUAAAAAUUAAACCACCCGCUAUGCAGUGAAUAGAACUGAAAGUGUAAUAAGUGUGUCCAACCACCAUAAAAUCUGGAUGCGACGAGAACUAC
rnacentral:lncRNA from 1 species